AUUCCAGCUCCAAGAGCGUAUAUUAAAGUUGUUGCAGUUAAAAAGCUCGUAGUUGGAUUUCUGGUCUAAUGCGCCUGGCCCGCUGCCGUUAGGUAUGUGAGUGCCGGUGCGCGUUUACCAUCCUUCCAGAGAACACUUCUACCAUUUAUUUGGACGGAUGUUGUCUUCUGGAUCUUUUACUUUGAAAAAAUUAGAGUGUUUAAAGCAGGCCUUUGCUGUGAAUACAUUAGCAUGGAAUAAUAAUCUAGGACUUCGGUUCUAUUUUGUUGGUUUCUAGUACUGAAGUAAUGAUUGAUAGGGAUAGUUGGGGGUAUUCAUAUUUACAUGUCAGAGGUGAAAUUCUUGGAUUUUGGAAAGAUGAACUACUGCGAAGGCAUUCACCAAGGAUGUCUUCAUUA
rnacentral:rRNA from 1 species